CCAUCGGUGGUUCAGUGGUAGAAUGCUCGCCUGGGCAGCCCGGGUUCGAUUCCCGGCCGAUGCA
rnacentral:tRNA from 1 species